rnacentral:tRNA from 3 species
GCGGCCAUGGCCUAGUGGUUAUGGCGUCAGUCUUACACACUGAAGGUCGGUGGUUCGAUCCCGCCUGGCCGUA